rnacentral:lncRNA from 1 species
UUCAAUGCGAUUCGAUUCUUUUCUAUUCGAUUCGAUUUGGAUUCAAUGCGAUUCGAUUCUUUUCUAUUCGAUUCAAUUCUUUUCUUUUCUAUUCUAUUCUAUUCUUUUCAAUUCGAUUCUUUUAUAUUCUCUUCGAUUCGAAUCGAUUCUUUUCUAUUCUAUUCCAUUCGAUUCAACUUGAUUCUUUUCUAUUCUAUUCUAUUCUAUUCUAUUUGAUUCUUUUCUAUUUGAUUCGAUUCGAAUUGAUUCUAUUCGAUUCUUUUGUAUUCGAUUCUUUUCUAUUAGAUUCGAUUUGAUUCUUUUAUAUUCUCUUCAAUUCGAUUCAAUUCUUUUCUUUUCUAUUCUAUUCUUUUCCAUUCGAUUCGAUUCUUUUCUAUUCUAUUCUUCUAUUCUAUUCUAUUCUAUUCUGUUCUGUUCUGUUCGAUUUUCUCCUAUUCUAUUCGAUUCUUUUCUAUUCGAUUCUGUUCUAUUCAAUUCUGUUCUAUUCGAUUCUUUUCUCUUCGAUUCGAUUCUUUUAUAUUCUCUUCAAUGCGAUUUGAUUCUUUUCUAUUCGAUUCGAUUCGCUUCUAUUUUAUUCUAUUCGACUUGAUUCGAUUCGAGUCGAGUCGAUCCUUUUCUAUUCUCUUCUAUUCGAUUCAAUUCAAAUUAGAUUAGAUUCAUGUAUUAUCUAUUCUAUUCGACUCUAUUCUUUUUUAUUCAAUUUGAUUCGAUUCUUUUCUAUUCGAUUCGAUUUGAUUCCUGUCUAUUCGAUUCGAUUCGAUUCAUUUCUUUUCUGUACUAUUCUAUUAUAUACUAUUCGAUUCAAUUCUUUUCUAUUUGAUUCAACUCGAUUCUAUUCUAUUCGAUUCGAUUCUUUUCUAUUCGAUUCGUUUCUAUUCUUUCCUAUUCUAUUCUUUUCUAUUCGAUUAUUUCCUAUUCUAUUCGAUUCGAUUUAAUUCGAUUCUUUAUAUUCGAUUUGAUUGGAUUCUUUUAUAUUCGAUUCUAUUCGACUCGUUUCUUUCUAUUCUAUUCUAUUCCAUUCUAUUUGAUUCUUUUCUAUUCGAUUCAAUUCGAUUGAAUUCUUUUCUUUUCCAUUCUCCUCGAUUUGAUUCUUUUCUAUUCGAUUCGAUUAUUUUCUAUUCUAUUCAAUACGAUCCUUUUCUUGUCUAUUCUAUUCGAUUCGAUUCUUUUCGAUUCAAUUCGAUUCUAUUCUUUCUAUUCGAUUCUACUCGAUUCGAUUCUUUUCUAUUCAAUUCGAUUCAAUUCUUUUCUAUUCUAUUCGAUACGAUUCUUUCCUAUUCUAUUAGAUUCAAUUUUUUUCUAUUCAAUUCAAUUCUCUUCUUUUCUGUUUGAUUCUACUCGAUUCGAUUCGAUUCUCUUCUAUUCACAUCCAUUCUCUUCUAUUGGAUUUGAUUCAAUUCCUUUCCUAUUUUUUUUUAUUCGAUUCGAUUUUUUCUAAUCGAUUCUAUUUGAUGUGUUUUGAUUCUUUUCGAUUCAACUCGAUUUUUUUCUAUUCAAUUCGAUUAGAUUAUUUUUUAUUCGAUUCGAUUCUUUUCUAUUCUACUCUAUUCUAUUUUAUUCAAUUUGAUUCUUUUCGAUUCGGUUUGAUUUUCAAUUCUUUUAAAUUUGAUUCAAUUCUUUUCAAUUCAAUUCGAUUCGAUUUGAUUCUUUUUUAUUCAAUUUAAUGCGAUUCAUUUCAAUUCAAUUCGAUUCUUUUCUAUUCUAUUCAAUUUGGAUCUUUUCUAUUUUAUUCGAUUCGAUUCCUUUACUAUUUUAUUCGAUUCGAAUCUUUUCUAUUCUAUUCUAUUCUAUUCAUUUCUUUUCUACUCAAUUCGAUUCGAUUCUUUUCCAUUCGAUUCGAUUCUUUUCUAUUUGAUUCGAUUCUUAUCUAUUCUAUUCGAUCGAUUCUAUUCUAUUUGAUUCUUUUCUAUUCUAUUUGAUUGUUUUCUGUUCUAUUCGAUUAGAUUUGUGUCUUUUCUAUUCGAUUCGAUUCGAUUCUUUUCUAUNCAAUUCGAUCUUUUCUAUUCAAUUUGAUUCUUUUCGAUUCGAUUAUUUUCUCUUCGAUUGUUUUCUAUUCUUUUUGAUUGGAUUUGAUUCGAUUCUUUUAUUCUAUUCUAUUCUAUUCUAUUCUAUUCUAUUUGAUUCUUUUCUAU